rnacentral:rRNA from 1 species
UGCCUGACGACAAUUGCGAGGUGGAACCACACUUUCCCAUCCCGAACAGGACCGUGAAACGCCUUUGCGCCGAUGAUAGU